ACCGGUAGCUCAGAUGGCAGAGCAACGGCCUUUUAAGCCGUGGGUCGAGGGUUCGAUCCCCUCCCGGU
rnacentral:tRNA from 1 species